GCCUCGGUGGAUCAUGGUGGAUCGUCCCUGUUACUUGAGCCAGUAACAGUUUUACAGCGGGAAGAUGGGGGUUCGAAUUCCUCUCGAGGCA